rnacentral:rRNA from 1 species
GACGAACGCUGGCGGCGUGCUUAACACAUGCAAGUCGAACGCUGAAGCUCAGCUUUUGUUGGGUGGAUGAGUGGCGAACGGGUGAGUAACACGUGAGUAACCUGCCUCCUUCUUUGGGAUAACGCCCGGAAACGGGUGCUAAUACUGGAUAUUCACUGGUCUUCGCAUGGGGGUUGGUGGAAAGGGUUUUUCUGGUGGGGGAUGGGCUCGCGGCCUAUCAGCUUGUUGGUGGGGCGAUGGCCUACCAAGGCUUUGACGGGUAGCCGGCCUGAGAGGGUGACCGGUCACAUUGGGACUGAGAUACGGCCCAGACUCCUACGGGAGGCAGCAGUGGGGAAUAUUGCACAAUGGGCGCAAGCCUGAUGCAGCGACGCCGCGUGAGGGAUGGAGGCCUUCGGGUUGUGAACCUCUUUCGCUCAUGGUCAAGCCGCAACAAUGGUUGUGGUGAGGGUAGUGGGUAAAGAAGCGCCGGCUAACUACGUG